rnacentral:rRNA from 1 species
GACGAACGCUGGCGGCGUGCUUAACACAUGCAAGUCGAACGGAAAGGCCCUGCUUUUGUGGGGUGCUCGAGUGGCGAACGGGUGAGUAACACGUGAGUAACCUGCCCUUGACUUUGGGAUAACUUCAGGAAACUGGGGCUAAUACCGGAUAGGAGCUCCUGCUGCAUGGUGGGGGUUGGAAAGUUUCGGCGGUUGGGGAUGGACUCGCGGCUUAUCAGCUUGUUGGUGGGGUAGUGGCUUACCAAGGCUUUGACGGGUAGCCGGCCUGAGAGGGUGACCGGCCACAUUGGGACUGAGAUACGGCCCAGACUCCUACGGGAGGCAGCAGUGGGGAAUAUUGAACAAUGGGCGGAAGCCUGAUGCAGCAACGCCGCGUGCGGGAUGACGGCCUUCGGGUUGUAGACCGCUUUCGCCUGUGGCGAAGCGUGAGUGACGGUAAUGGGUAAAGAAGAACCGGCUAACUACGUG